rnacentral:rRNA from 1 species
AGAGUUUGAUCCUGGCUCAGGACGAACGCUGGCGGCGUGCUUAACACAUGCAAGUCGAACGAUGAAGCUGGUGCUUGCACUGGUGGAUUAGUGGCGAACGGGUGAGUAACACGUGAGUAACCUGCCCCUGACUCUGGGAUAACUGCUGGAAACGGUAGCUAAUACUGGAUAUGAACCGUACGGGCAUCUGUUGCGGUUGGAAAGUUUUUCGGUUGGGGAUGGGCUCGCGGCCUAUCAGUUUGUUGGUGGGGUAGUGGCCUACCAAGACGACGACGGGUAGCCGGCCUGAGAGGGUGACCGGCCACAUUGGGACUGAGACACGGCCCAGACUCCUACGGGAGGCAGCAGUGGGGAAUAUUGCACAAUGGGGGAAACCCUGAUGCAGCAACGCCGCGUGAGGGAUGACGGUCUUCGGGUUGUAAACCUCUUUUGGCAGGGAAGAAGCGAGAGUGACGGUACCUGCAGAAAAAGCGCCGGCUAACUACGUGCCAGCAGCCGCGGUAAUACGUAGGGCGCGAGCGUUGUCCGGAAUCAUUGGGCGUAAAGAGCUCGUAGGCGGUUUGUCGCGUCUGCUGUGAAAGCCUGGGGCUCAACUCCGGGAUUGCAGUGGGUACGGGCAGACUAGAGUGCGGUAGGGGAGACUGGAAUUCCUGGUGUAGCGGUGGAAUGCGCAGAUAUCAGGAAGAACACCGAUGGCGAAAGGCAGGUCUCUGGGCCGUUACUGACGCUGAGGAGCGAAAGCAUGGGG